rnacentral:rRNA from 1 species
UACGUAGGUGGCAAGCGUUGUCCGGAUUUACUGGGCGUAAAGAGCGCGCAGGCGGUCGUUCAAGUCGCGUGUGAAAGCCCCCGGCUCAACUGGGGAGGGUCACGCGAUACUGAUCGACUGGAAGGCAGGAGAGGGUAGUGGAAUUCCCGGUGUAGUGGUGGAAUGCGUAGAUAUCGGGAGGAACACCAGUGGCGAAGGCGGUUGCCUGGAGCUUUGCUGACGCUGAUGCGCGAAAGCGUGGGGAGCGAGUCCGG